GUACGCCACUACGCCCUCUCUCUUAUUUUCUUCCUCUUCUUCUUCUUCUUCAGAUUCUAGUUCGAUUAAUGUUUUGUGCAUUUGAUUGAUUUCCAUUGGAUAGCUUUUGGCCCUGAUUUUGUGCAGCGACAGAGACAGAAAGCAUCAAUUUAUUUCAUUAAACCCUGUCCCCUCUCCAAUCUUCCCAGUCACCGUUUUCUUCUUCUUCCUC
rnacentral:misc_RNA from 1 species